rfam:Salmo salar isolate Sally breed double haploid chromosome ssa24, whole genome shotgun sequence.
UUCCCUGUGGCUCAGUUGGUAGAGCAUGGUGUUUGCAACGCCAGCAUGGUGUGUGCAACACCAGGGUUGUGGGUUCGUAUUCCCACAGGGAGC